UCUGUUCACCUUUGUCAUAAGCUGAUACAGGAGUCAUCUCAUCCAGAUUAUGAUCUUCAAUAUCGGAACCCAUGUGGUCGCUUGGAUCACAUUCACCACAAGAUGAAUUAACUGUAAUCACACUUUCAGAAGCUGAAGCGUAAGCCAAUAGUUUCGGUUCACCUUUACUUCUGCUUCCCUCUGACUUUCCCUUCAAUUUACAGACAAGGAAAUUUCCCUACACAUGUUGGAGCACAAAUCAAUAAAUUCAAUGUAAUCACCAAAUUAAAAGCAAAUUUCAAAAAGCUAUAACCAAUCAAACCUCACAAAACGAGAAUUUCACUAAAUCUAGCCCAAAUUCUUCAAUCACAUUCGUAGUCAUACCAUAUAACUUCAGAAUAAGCAAGGGUAUUACCAUAUACUUUUCAUUCAUGAUAAACGCAUUGGUGAGGUCAAAAUCCGGAACACUUUAACAAAAAACUACAAAUUAGCAAUCAUAUGAUUUCCCAAACGCAUCCAACAAGCAAAAAACAGACUAGUUGCUUGGAGUACAAAUUCUUGAGUUAUAGCAUACAAUCUGCGAAAGUUUAGCAUUUACCUGUGGAAUGAG
rnacentral:misc_RNA from 1 species